AGAUUGAGUCGCCAGCGGGUCAGCGAGCUACAGCAGCAGGUUGAGGACCUCCAGAAGGCGCUGCAGAGUCAGGCGGUCAAGCCCGAUGACUCAAACCUGAAGCGGAAACUGGAUGCUCACAUGUAAGUCAUCAAGAUGGAAGCUCUCAGCAGAUUCAGAGAAUGUGCAGUUGUUCGUCCCUAACCGACGCAAACACGGCAGUUUUAAUUACAGAAAAUAUUUGUGUGAAAAACGCUUAGAUGCCAUAAAAA